AGCGCAGGCGGUUUCUUAAGUCUGAUGUGAAAGCCUUCGGCUCAACCGAAGAAGUGCAUCGGAAACUGGGAAACUUGAGUGCAGAAGAGGACAGUGGAACUCCAUGUGUAGCGGUGAAAUGCGUAGAUAUAUGGAAGAACACCAGCGGCGAAGGCGGCUGUCUGGUCUGUAACUGACGCUGAGGCUCGAAAGCAUGGGUAGCAAACA
rnacentral:rRNA from 1 species